CUUUUUUCUCUUCCUUCUUUUCCUCUUGUUUCACCUCUUCUUCCUCCUCUUCUUCGUGUUCCUCGAAGAAUAAUGUCUGAGCCCUCUUGCUGCAUUUUCGUCUCAUGGGUUGUGAUUCUUUUUUUUCCUUUCUACUCAGUUUAAAAAUAAACGAAAAUAAAUAAA
rnacentral:ribozyme from 1 species